UUUUUGUCCCACUGUACAGCAAGGGGAUCAAGUUAUCCUUACGUGUAUACAUUUUUCCCCCACCCUUUGUUCUGUUGCAAUAUGAGUAUCUAGACAUAGUUCUCAAUGCUACUCAGCAGGAUCUCCUUGUAAAUCUAUUCUAAGUUGUGUCCGAUAAUCCCAAGAUCCUGAUCCCUCCCACUCCCUCCCUCUCCCAUCAGGCAGCCACAAGUCUCUUUUCCAAGUCCAUGAUUUUCUUUUCUGAGGAGAUGCUCAUUUGGGCUGGAUAUUAGAUUCCAGUUAUAAGUGAUAUCAUAUGGUAUUUGUCUUUGUCUUUCUGGCUCAUUUCACUCAGUAUGAGAGUCUCUAGUUCCAUCCAUGUUGCUGCAAAUGGCAUUAUGUCAUUCUUUUUGUAUGGCGGAGUAGUAUUCCGUUGUCUAUAGAUACCACAUCUUCCAAAUCCAAUCAUCUGUUGAUGGACAUUUGGGUUGUUUUCAUGUCCUGGCUAUUGUGAAUAGUGCUGCAAUGAACAUGCGGGUGCAUGUGUCUCUUUUAAGUAGAGUUUUGUCCGGAUAGAUGCCCAAGAGUGGGAUUGCAGGGUCAUAUGGAAGUUCUAUGUACAGAUUUCUAAGGUAUCUCCAAACUGUUCUCCAUAGUGGCUGUACCAGUUUACAUUCCCACCAACAGUGCAGGAGGGUUCCUUUUUCUCCACAGCCCCUCCAGCAUUUGUUAUUUGUGGAUUUAUUAAUGAUGGCCAUUCUGACUGGUGUGAGGUGGUAUCUCAUGGUAGUUUUGAUUUGCAUUUCUCUUAUGAUCAGCGAUGUUGAGCAUUUUCUCAUGUGUUUGUUGGCCAUCUGUAUAUCUUCUUUGGAGAAAUGUCUAUUCAGGUCUUUUGCCCAUUUUUCCAUUGGUUGAUUGGCUUUUUUGCUGUUGGGUUGUAUAAGUUGCUUGUAUAUUCUAGAGAUUAAGCCCUUGUUCGUUGCAUCAUUUGAAACUAUUUUCUCCUAUUCUGUAAGUUGUUUUCUUGUUUUCUUUUGGGUUUCCUUAUUUGUGCAAAAGCUUUUCAGUUUCAUGAGGUCCCAUGGGUUUAUUUUUGCUCUAAUUUCUAUUGCUUUGGGAGACUGACCUGAGAAAAUAUUCAUGAUGUUGAUGUCAGAGAGUGUUUUGCCUAUGUUCUCUUCUAGGAGUUUGAUGGUAUCUUGCCUUAUCUUUAAGUCUUUCAGCCAUUUUGAGUUUAUUUUUGUGCAUGGUAUGAGGGUGUGUUCUAGUUUCAUUGCUUUGCAUGCAGCUGUCCAGCUUUCCCAGCAAUGCUUGCUGAAUAGACUUUCUUUUUCCCAUUUUAUGUUUUUGCCUCCCUUGUCAAAGAUUAAUUGACCAUAGGUGUCAGGGUUUAUUUCCGGAUUCUCUAUUCUGUUCCAUUGGUCUGUCUGUCUGUUUUGAUACCAGUACCACACUGUCUUGAUGACUGUGGCUUUGUAGUAUUUCUUGAAGUCUGGGAGAGUGAUGCCUCCUGCUUGGUUUUUGUUUCUCAGGAUUGCUUUGGCGAUUCUGGGUCUUUUGUGGUUCCAUAUAAAUGUUUGGAUUGUUUGUUCUAGUUCUGUGAAAAAUGUCAUGGGGAAGUUGAUAGGGAUUGCAUUGAAUCUGUACAUUGCUUUGGGUAGGAUGGCCAUUUUUACAAUAUUGAUUUUCCCAAUCCAGGAACAUGGAAUAUCUUUCCAUUUCUUUACAUCUUCUCUGAUUUCUUUGAUUAAAGUUUUAUAGUUCUUGGUAAAUAGGUCCUUUACCUCCUUGGUCAGGUGUAUUCCGAGGUAUUUGAUUUUGUGAGGUGCAAUUUAAAAAGGUAUUGUAUUUUUGUAUUCCUUUUCUAAUAUUUCGUUGCUGGUAUACAGAAAUGCAACUGACUUCUGAAUGUUAAUCUUAUAUCCUGCUACUUUGCUGAGUUUAUUAAUCAGUUCAAGUAGUUUUUAGGUUGAGUCCUUAGGGUUUUCUAUGUAUAGUAUCAUGUCAUCUGCAUACAGUGACAGUUUGAUCUCUUCUCUUCCUAUAUGGAUGCCUUUUAUUUCUUUUGUUUGUCUAAUUGCUGUGGCUAGGACUUCCAAAACUAUGUUGAAGAGCAGUGGUGAGAGUGGGCAUCCCUGUCUUGUUCCAGAUUUGAGUGAGAAGGCUUUCAGUUUUUCCCCAUUGAGGAUUAUAUUUGCUGUGGGUUUAUCAUAAAUGGCUUUGAUUAUAUUCAGGAAUGUUCCCUCUAUACCCACUUUGGCGAGGGUCUUGAUCAUGAAUGGAUGUUGAACUUUGUCAAAUGCUUUUUCUGCGUCUAUUGAGAUGAUCAUAUGAUUUUUGACUUUUUUUUUGUUAAUGUGGUGUAUGAUGCUGAUUGAUUUGCGUAUGUUGAACCAUCCUUGUGAACCUGGGAUGAACCCAACCUGGUCAUGGUGUAUAAUUUUUUUGAUAUGUUGUUGGAUUCGGUUGGCUAAGAUUUUGUUGAGAAUUUUUGCAUCUAUAUUCAUCAAUGAUAUUGGGCGAUAGUUUUCUUUUUUGGUGGUAUCUCUGUCUGGUUUUGGAAUGAGGGUGAUGGUGGCCUCAUAGAAUGUCUUUGGGAGUAUUCCUUCUUCUUCAACCUUUUGAAAGAGUUUAAGGAGGAUGGGCACCAAUUCCUCUUUAUAUGUUUGAUAGAAUUCACCUGUGAAGCCAUCUGGUCCUGGACUUUUAUUUGUAGGGAGUGAUUUUAUGACCUCUUCAAUUUCAUUUCUAGUGAUCGGUCUGUUCAGUUGGUCUGUUUCUGCUUGAUUCAGUUUUGGCAGGCUGUAAGAUUCUAGAAAAUUGUCCAUUUCUUCCAGAUUGUCAAACUUGUUGCCAUAUAGUUGUUCAUAGUAUUCUCUUAUGGUUUUUUGUAUUUCUGCUGUAUCCGUUGUGAUUUCUCCUUUUUCAUUUAUAAUUUUGGUUAUUUGGGUUCUUUCUCUCCUCUUUUUAGUGAGUCUGGCCAGGGGUUUGUCAAUUUUGUUCACCUUUUCAAAGAACCAGCUCUUGGUUUUAUUAAUUUUCUCUAUUGUUUUUUGAGUCUCUAUUUUAUUGAUUUCUUCUUUGAUCUUUAUAAUUUCCUUCCUUCUGCUGACUUUAGGACUUUUUUGUUCUUCUUUUUCUAAUUCGUUUAGGUGGAGGGUUAAGUUGUCAAUUUGGGAUCUUUCUUCUUUUUUGAGAAAGGCCUGGAUUGCUAUAAAUUUCCCUCUGAGCACUGCUUUCGCAGCAUCCCAUAGAUUUUGAGAGGUUGUGUCUUCAUUAUCAUUUGUUUCAAGGUAGUUUUUAAUUUCCUUCUUGAUUUCCUCAUUGACCCAUUGGUUUUUUAGUAGCAUGUUGUUUAGUCUCCAUGUAGUAGGUUUUUUCUCUUUCCUUUUCCCAUGGUUGAUUUCUAAUUUCAUGGCAUUGUGGUCAGAGAAGAUACUUGAGAUAAUUUCUAUGCUCCUAAAUUUAUUGAGAUUCGCUUUGUGUCCCAAUAUGUGGUCGAUUCUUGAGAAUGUUCCAUGAGCAUUUGAGAAGAAUGUGUAUUCUGCUUUUUUUGGAUGUAGUGUCCUGAAGAUAUCAAUUAAGUCUAACUUUUCUAUUGUUUCCUUUAGGAUCUCUGUUGCUUUAUUGGUUUUCUGUCUAGAGGAUCUGUCCAUUGAUGUGAGGGGGGUAUUUAGGUCUCCUACUAUGAUUGUAUUCUCAUCAAUAUCUCCCUUUAUGUCUGUUAAUAUUUGUUGUAUGUAUCUGGGUGCUCCUAUAUUUGGGGCAUAUAUGUUGAUGAUAGUAACAUCCUCUCCUUGGAUGGAUCCCUUAAUCAUUAAAUAGUGUCCUUCUUUGUCUUUCUUUAUGUCUUUUGUUUUAAAGUCUAUUUUGUCUGAUAUGAGCGUUGCGACUCCUGCUUUUCUGUCAUGUCUAUUGGCGUGAAAUAUUUUUCCCCACCCUUUCACUUUCAAUCUAUAUGUAUCUUUUGUCCUAAGGUGAGUUUCUUGUAGGCAGCAUAUUGAAGGUUUUUGCCUUUUUAUCCACUCAGCCACUCUGUGUCUUUUGAUUGGGGCAUUCAGUCCAUUGACAUUUAAGGUGAUAAUUGAUAGAUGAUUAUUUAUUGCCAUUUGAACCUCGUGUUCCAGUUGAUUCUAUGGUUCUCCAUUCUUCCUUUCUUUUUUUUUUUUUUUUUGUUGGAUGGUCUCCUGUUAUUAUCUGCUUGAGUGUAUUUUUUUUUUCAUUUUUUGCAAAUGCAAUAUUUGGUUUUGGCUUGUGGUUGCCCUGUUUUUUAAGUAUGCUAACCCCUUCCCAUAAUUGUGUGUUUUAGCCUGAUGGUCCUGUAAGUUCAAACACUUCAUUACUAUAUUAAAAUUAAGAAGAGAGACAUACAUACAAACAAAAAGGGUUAUUUACCUCCUAACAUCCCUUGCCCACAUUUUAUGGUUUUGAUGACUCUUUUUUAUUUUUUUCUUUUUAAUUUUAUUUUGUUUGAAGCAUGUUCAUGAUUAAAUCUGUAUGCUGGCUUAUUUGAGUGACUGCUCUCUGAUUGCGGUUUCCUCAGUCCUAGUUCUUCCUCUUCUUCUUCUUUUUUUUUUUUUUUUUUUUCUUUUCUUUUUUCUUCCCUUUCCUUCCUUUCUUUUUGGUUUAGAGAAGCCCUUUCAAUAUUUCCUUUAACCUGGGUUUUGUGUUGCUGUAUUCUUUAAGUUUUUGUUUGUUGGGAAAAAUUUUUAUUUCCCCUUCUAUUUUAAAUGAUAUUCUUGCUGGAUAGAGUAUUCUAGGUUGCAUAUUUUUUCCUUUGAGCACUUUAAAUAUCUCUUGCCAUUCCCUCCUGGCCUGUAGUGUUUCUGUAGAGAAAUCAGCUGAUAUUCUUAUGGGGGUUCCCUUGUAGGUAACAUUCUGUUUUUCUCUUGCUGCCUUUAGGAUCCUCUCUUUAUCACUAACUUUUGCCAUUUUUAUUAUGAUGUGUCUUGGUGUGGGUCUGUUUGGGUUCAGUUUGUUUGGGGCCCUCUGUGCUUCUUGUAUCUUGAAUCCAGUAUCCUUUAGAUUUGGGAAGUUUCCAGCGAUAAUUUCUUCAAAUAUAUUUUCCAUUCCCUUAUCUUUUUCUACUCCUUCUGGAAUUCCUAUUAUGCGUAGAUUGGCCCGCUUUAUAUUAUCCCAUAGGUCUCUUAUAUUGCUUUCCAGUUUUUUGAUUCGGUUUUCUGUCUGUUGACCAGAUUGAGUGAUUUCCAUUAUUCUAUCUUCCAUAUCACUGAUUCGUUCUUCUGCAUUAUUCAUUCUGGUUUUUACUGCCCCUAGUUCAGUUUGCAUCUCUGCAAAUGAAUGUUCUAGUUUUUCUUGGCUCCUCCUUAUAUUUUCUAGUUCCUUUCUGAGGGUAUCUGCAUUACUGUUCAUAUCUUCUCUUAAUUCCUUCAGUAUUUUCACUAUUUCUCUUUUGAACUCCAGGUCUGUCAGACUGCAGAGAUCUGUUUCAUUGUUGACUGUUUUAGGUGAGUUCUCCUGUUGGUUUGACUGGGGGUGGUUUCUCAGCUUCUUCAUCUUGCUUGUUGUUUUCUUUCUCCUGAGGGAGUUGUACUCUCCGUUAUCGGGCAGUGUUUGCCUUGUCACUGCCGUGGAAUAUUUCCUGAGGGCUGGCGUUGUUGGUCAAUCUUUUUUGAGGCAGUGUGGCUUUUCUGGAGUGUUGAUGGGGCUAACAGUGUUUCUUUGAAGCAAAGGAGGACUUCCUGAGGGCAGACAGGACUGGGAGGUCCACACCACGAUGGUAGCAGAUUUCACUUGGUCAUGCAGAGCUUGCUCUGGUGUUUUUAGGCUGUGGGGUUCUUGCAGGGGGUUGGCGGUGUUGGGCAGCUGCUCCUCAGGAGUGCAGCACCCCCUGGGGGCUGGAGCAGCUAUCUGGGUCACUGAGAACCUAAGAGGCUCUUCCCUAGGGCAGCCCAACUCAGAAGGACAGCCUGAGAAUGUAGGCGGAUCUUUUCACAGUCUGGCCGAGCUUGUUGCAGCUUUUCUGGGCUGCAGGGGCUCUUCCAGGGGGCUGGUGGUGCUGAGCAGUUAUUUCACGGGAGUGGGGCACCCCCUGGGGGCUUGGGCGGGUAGCAGGGCCGUUGGAGACCCAAGAGGCUCCUCCCCAGGGCAGCCCAACUCAGAAAAACCGUCUGAGAUCUUUUCCCGACUCGGCCAGGCUUGUUGCAGCUUUUCUGGGCUGCAGGGGGUCCUGCCUGGAGCUGGCAGUCCUAUGCAGCUGGUCCACUAGGGCACCCCCUGGGGGCUUGGGCGGGUAGCAGGGCCGUUGGAAACCCAAGAGGCUCCUCCCCGGGGCAACCCGACUCAGAAAAACCGUCCGAGAAUUAGGCCGAUCUAUUCACAGCCUGGCUAAGCUUGUUCUAGCUUUUCUAGGCUGCAGGCCUUUUCUCGGGGGCUGGUGCUGUUUGGUGCUGCUCUGCGGAAGUGUAGCCCCUCCAAAGGGCAAGCAGGCCUGUGCAGGGACAGCCCCUGCGGUGGUAGGCUUCAGGCAAUUGUUGAG
rnacentral:lncRNA from 1 species